rnacentral:rRNA from 1 species
UACGUAGGUGGCGAGCGUUAUCCGGAAUGAUUGGGCGUAAAGGGUGCGUAGGCGGCCUGCUAAGUCUGGAGUGAAAGGUACCGGCUCAACCGGUACAGGCUCUGGAAACUGGCGGGCUAGAGAGCAGGAGAGGGCGGUGGAACUCCAUGUGUAGCGGUAAAAUGCGUAGAUAUAUGGAAGAACACCAGUGGCGAAGGCGGCCGCCUGGCCUGUUGACUGACGCUGAGGCACGGAAGCGUGGGGAGCAAAUAGG